AACAUGAUUUGGAGAGAGUGGUAUAAACACAUAAAAAACACAAGCAUUUCAAUAUUGGUUAUUUUCCUCUUUAUUUUGAUUUUAUUUUGAGGAGGCUGGAGAAUGAAAUAACGUCUUCGGAAACAGCUUAAACAAGUCAGUUCAAGACAAUCUCUGGCUCUUUCUGAAGGCAACAUUAUAAGGCUUCAAAAAUAGCACAGUGAGCCAAGAGAAACUGCAAAGACACCGCUGUGGGAUGGUGAUUUGGAUAUAAAAUUCUCUGAGCCAGGGUGUGAUAAGCUGUUGGACCAUCUUAGACAACCAUCUAGACCCUGGAGCCAUUGUAGUUUGGGUAAGAAUGCUUAAGUAAGGGGUGGGGGACAGAGAAGGAUGUUUUGGGGAGGGGUAUCAAUAUUCUUUCUAUGCUUUUGCACCCAAGUACCCGGGAAAUCUUCUAAGACUAUGUUUAUGCAGUACCUUCUAUGUGUUAGACCACUGUGCCCUGCACCUUCUUAUGUUCUCCUAUUUAAUCCUUUCAGUGAGUCUUUGAGCAAACUCCUGUCCCUGCAACCGGAAUUUCCCCAAGUUUUACCUGUCUGAGGGCAGAGAUGAAGUCCUGUUAAUACUAACACCCAAAUUGCAAUGACCCUUUGCCCCUCCCUGUGUGAGAACAGCCCUUCUAGUCCUCCUCCAUGCCUGUCUCAGGAGGGUCAGAAGCAAGGCUGCUUCCUUUUUUCCAGGCUGACUCCUGCCUUGCUGUGGUCAGCACUCCUCCUGCUGGAAAUGCUUUCUCUGAGCUUUACUGCCAAGUAGAUCUUCAAUGGGCUGGGAGCUGCCCUUGGACCCCUUUGCCCAAGAUCUGAAUUGAGGGCAGUGGCAGCAUGGGGUGCUGUAAAGGGCAAGAGGGAUUCAGUUUAAAGGAUGACUGCAUUCCAUCUCUGUGGAGCCCCUUGAAGUACGCAGCUGAUGUACACGGCUUGUGCUACUAAUUCCCAGCUCCAUCUCCCCUGCCUCCCUCUGCCCCACCAAUUAUUGCUUGUCAAGCUUCUGUUCCUAACUCCUCGUUUCAUAGGGACUCAGGUCAUGGGAGGAGACACAGGCCAUGCCUCUUUAGUCUGUUCCUCUUCCCUAUCCCUUCUUCUUUCAGGCAUCCUAGCGCUGUCCUUUCUCCUCUACUUAGCCUUCUUUCUUUAGAUCGAAGAUCAAAAACUCUCAAGCAUUUCAACUCAUGCAGUGAACAUCUGAAGGGAUCACGGAUCCACCAGUUCCACAGAUUACCAUACUCAUUCCACAGAUGACCCACUUGGGAAUCAGCUUGGGAAGCGAGUUAAAAGAGUUCCCGAGCUGUGACGGAAACACAGGGCAGUGACCCCAGAGGGCACCCCACUUUCCAGUGCACAGGGUUAGACAUUUCCUUGUUUCUGACUCAGCUCACUUUAGAAAGAUGACUUUUGUCAUCAAAAACCAUUCUCCAUACCUAAUAUUUAAUGAUUCUGAGGAAAGAAAAAUAAGAAGCCUAGAAAACUAUUCUGAAUUAUAAUGCUCGAAAACUUCAUGUUAUUUGAAAAUUAAUCAUAUGCAGGGGUACUGAAAGGCAUCAUACCAAGAAAAUGGUACCUACAGAACAAUGGAAUCUGUCAGGAGAAACUUCCAUUUUCAUGACACUUUGAAGGAAGCAGUGAUUUAUUAUUUCCAGAUAUAUGAUUAAUUUUUAAAUGUUUUUAAUUGUGUGUUUUAUGCUUUGUUGAACAAUGCACUUUAAUCUACACAUUGUAAUUUGCUGGAACAUCUGAGUUUGCUUCACAACUCAACUCUUUUAAGUUUCACGAAGGAUACUGUGGUGCCCUGAUCUCUGGCCAAGGCUCUAUGGUCUGUGCUCUACUCUGCAGCCUAUGACAGGUUACAACCACAUUUAUAGUAGAGAGGCCAAGACCAGCUGCAGUUUCCUUCUCUUCACUCCUUUGAAAAUGUUUGCAUUGUAACUGCCACUCUUACUCCCACUGUGCUUAAUGUCCCUGACAAAAUAUUAAGGCACCAGAAUUAAGACAAAAUAUUAAGGCACUGUUUAAUAGUAGUACAAACUGUAACACCUUAUUGAUGCUUUUAACUUUUAAAGCACUUUGCUCACAUGAUCAUAUUUUAUGCUGAUAACAAUUCUAUAGCUCGUAGCUGUGACACAUAUGGAUUUGUUGUGAGUCAUGCCCAAAAUCCUCUAUGUUGUUGGUGUCCUGACUCACAAUCCUGAGCUCUUUCAUUGGACUCUGCUGACUUUAACAGAUAUGAUCAGAGGCCUUGACAGAAUGACUUGGUUAAUAUUUCUAUCAUGUUGAAAAGUCAUUUAGAAA